rnacentral:rRNA from 1 species
ACUCAAAUGAAUUGACGGGGGCCCGCACAAGCAGCGGAGCGUGUGGUUUAAUUCGAGGCUACGCGAAGAACCUUACCUAGGCUUGACAUGCAAGUGGUAGUGAAGUGAAAGCGGAACGACCUUCGGGAGCUUGCACAGGUGCUGCAUGGCUGUCGUCAGCUCGUGCCGUGAGGUGUUCGGUUAAGUCCGAAAACGAGCGCAACCCCUAGUGCCAGUUACAAGUGUCUGGCGCGACUGCCCGGGGAAACUGGGAGGAAGGUGGGGAUGACGUCAAGUCAGCAUGGCCUUUAUGUCUAGGGCGACACACACGCUACAAUGGUCGGUACAAUAGGCAGCCAAGCCGCGAGGCGGAGCGAAUCCAAUAAAGCCGAUCACAGUUCGGAUUGCAGGCUGCAACUCGCCUGCAUGAAGUCGGAGUUGCUAGUAAACGCGGGUCAGCUACACCGCGUUGAAUACGUUCCCGGGCCUUGCACACACCGCCCGU